GAAUAAACAGAGUUUAAGAGCCUGUCUCAUUUGAUAAGAAGCCAGAAACUGUAAUUAACUUAAGUGGCAGGCGAUUGCGCACACCCACAAACAAGCUCAUCAUGUUCAUCCACUUAAUGAAGAAAAAGAACUUGUACAUCCUCCUCAUGUCCAACAGGAAGUGUGAGAAAUCUUUUUGAGUGACAAUAGGUUUAUCUGGUAGAUCACGGCUCUGCAUGCUUGUCCUGAUCUGAACUUGGACUUUGAAUCAAGAUGCUCCUGCAACCUCUCAUCUACAACCUAGUCAGCUCAGACCGAUGAUGACCUGCUUUGGUGCCUGUGCUACUCAGGGAUCCACAACCACACAUGGAGCUGCAGGAUCAGAACCUUGAAGAGCACCACAAGACAGAAGAGGACAUCACAGGGACAGAGCAACUGCUAACGUGCCUACUCAGCACAAAGUGGAAAAUCCAACAAGACUAAUGUUUGAAUUAUGACCACAUUGGUGCAAAGAGGAUGUACACCAAUCGAGAUGGUGAGCAAAAAAGGAACUUUAACAAAAAAAGCUUCAGUUAUUGGAGGCUGCGCUGACAGUCAAAGUGGUAGGCAAGUUUAAAAUUGCAUUAAUACACUUUUCCUCUCAGCCUGCCCACAACGCCUUAAACAUUGCAUCAAAACUUUUAAUGUCUUUUAAAACAUGUCAGACUGCAUCACAGCAGCAAGAGUCACACUGCUAAGACAGGCUAGAAGAAAGUGACGUGUAUUUUUGCAUCUUGAUGGUCCCUGGCUUCCUUUUUGUCUGGACUCCGUACUCCACUUCUGAUCAUCGGGAAACGGGGGAGCUGGUUUCACUGUCUCAACAACAACAAUCCCAGCUUUCUUUGCAAAGCGCUCAGCUCUGUAUAAUCCUGUUAUCUGCAGUAUGUGAUGCUGAAGAAAGAGGCUGCUUCUUCAACAAUACUGAAAGCCAGAACCUGUCCACUCUGCUGGAUUGACUUAUGUUUUAUAUAUUUUUAUUCUUUUUUUAAAUAUAUGAAAUAACAGUUAUUAACAAUUGCUUACCAGUAACACAGAAGUCUUCACUGUGCCCUCUGUGUACUCUGUAUUAUGUGUGGACUGAUCUACACAGGUUUACUGAUUAAUAAAUCCGAAUAAAUGAAUGGAUGUUGGAAAACUGCAAAUUUGUAAUGUCAUUACUGGAUUUAUCUAAUCCUGUUGUAAUCUUGUCACUUGAAUGAAUUAAAAAAUCUAUUUGUAAGCUU